UACGUAGGGUGCAAGCGUUGUCCGGAAUUAUUGGGCGUAAAGAGCUCGUAGGCGGUCUGUCGCGUCUGCUGUGAAAACUCAGGGCUUAACCCUGAGCUUGCAGUGGGUACGGGCAGACUAGAGUGCGGUAGGGGAGACUGGAAUUCCUGGUGUAGCGGUGAAAUGCGUAGAUAUCAAGAGGAACACCUGAGGUGAAGACGGGUUGCUGGGCUGACACUGACGCUGAGGCGCGAAAGCCAGGGGAGCAAACGGG
rnacentral:rRNA from 1 species